rnacentral:rRNA from 1 species
AUUGAACGCUGGCGGCAUGCCUUACACAUGCAAGUCGAACGGUAACAGGUCUUCGGAUGCUGCCGAGUGGCGAACGGGUGCGUAAUACAUCGGAACGUGCCCAGACGUGGGGGAUAACGAGGCGAAAGCUUUGCUAAUACCGCAUACGACCUAAGGAUGAAAGCAGGGGACCGCAAGGCCUUGCGCGUUUGGAGCGGCCGAUGGCAGAUUAGGUAGUUGGUGGGAUAAAAGCUUACCAAGCCGACGAUCUGUAGCUGGUCUGAGAGGACGACCAGCCACACUGGGACUGAGACACGGCCCAGACUCCUACGGGAGGCAGCAGUGGGGAAUUUUGGACAAUGGGCGAAAGCCUGAUCCAGCAAUGCCGCGUGCAGGAUGAAGGCCUUCGGGUUGUAAACUGCUUUUGUACGGAACGAAAAGGCUCUGGCUAAUACCUGGGGCACAUGACGGUACCGUAAGAAUAAGCACCGGCUAACUACGUG